AGAGUUUGAUCAUGGCUCAGGACGAACGCUGGCGGCGUGCUUAAUACAUGCAAGUCGAGCGGUGAACCCGACUGAAAGCCUUCGGGCUUGACGUUGGGGGAUCAGCGGCGGAUGGGUGAGUAACGCGUGGGUACCUGCCCUAAAGUCUGGGAUAACAACUCGAAAGGGUUGCUAAUACCGGAUGUGACCGAGAGGUUAAAGGCAGAGAUGUCGCUUUAGGAUGGGCCCGCGUCCCAUUAGCUAGUUGGUGAGGUAAGGGCUCACCAAGGCUGCGAUGGGUAGCCGGCCUGAGAGGGUGGACGGCCACACUGGGACUGAGACACGGCCCAGACUCCUACGGGAGGCAGCAGUAGGGAAUUUUCCGCAAUGGACGGAAGUCUGACGGAGCGACGCCGCGUGGGGGAAGAAGGCCUUCGGGUUGUAAACCUCUGUCUUCAGGGACGAAGAGGGUGUGGGAGACACACCGAAGCCGGUACCUGAGGAGGAAGCCCCGGCUAACUACGUGCCAGCAGCCGCGGUAAU
rnacentral:rRNA from 1 species